GUAUUUUUCAACUGCGUUCGUUUAUUUUGAAAUGAAUCCUGGCGACCGUGACGUCAUCUGACUGCGCGGUGUGACUGUCGCGAACUUGACGCAGCAACAUCAACUCCAAACGGCGUCAGUGACAGUUGGGCUUUUCGUUGCUCAGCGCCGCUGGGAAAACCUCCCAGGAAAGCUGAAAGAAAGUGGAAACCCAGGCCCAGCUGCUUCGAGUCCUCUCCGGGACACACAGCCCUCUGACAUGGAAUAAUUUUUGGCAAUUUUUUUUGGUUCUUUGUCCCAACACGUCUACCUUUGGUCUUUAAUUUAAAACGUGUUAAAGGAGUUUUGCACCCUGCCAGAGUUGGACAGUCAUGAUGUUGAGCGCUGAAGUCCUGAAGAAGGAGUUUGUCUCCUUUCUCCUUCUUCAUGCAUUGACCUUUGACUGAAGAAGGAGCUUUAGAAGAAUUAGGAACAAACUUCCUUGCAGUUGACUUUGCAUUAUGGUUAUUUCUUGCUCAGUUGUUGAUAUGCUAAUAAGUUACUUUACAGAAAAAGGAAUUUUGUGCUGUAGGGGCAUUGACUAUAUGUAAAGAUGCGCAAACCCUCCAUGACGUCACCCAUGGGUGAGCUUAGUGUGAAUAAAUGAGCAAAGCAGUGGAGCUGAGAUGGGCCAUACAAACAUCUGUGGGCAGUGACCUGCUCACUCAGAGUGACCACACCCUGAAUUAUGCAUGGCUUUAUUGUGUCCUACCAUCAUCUUCCCAAACUCUUGUGGACUUCUUGAAAGUCUGUCAGAGGAACUGUCAUCAUUUUCCACUUAAUGCUGCUCUGUUGCUGUUUUCUGUCAAACCAGAAGAACUCAUGUCGUUUUUUUUCCUUCUCUCCUGCAGCCUCCAUCCAGCCGUCCGUGGAAAGGGGAUCUCUCUUUGAAUUGCCUUUCCCAAGGUUUCUUCCCAUCUUCCAUGGGGAGUUUUUUCUCGUCUUCAUAGAGAACUUGGGCUGGAUCAAGACCUCCUCAAAAAUCAAGCUUCAUUAUAAGAAAUAACACAUCAUUAUAGAUUAUUUCCAGAUUCCAUUUAGAGUUACAUCCUGGUUAAUAAGUUAUUUACACAAAACCAAGUUGAGCUGCACAUUUUAGACGACAUUUUACGUUUAUUAUAUAACGUAUUAAAGAGCUACUUUACACAUUGAGAUUAAUAAUUCAAAAUAUGACCAAAAAAUAAGUUCUCUUGUAUUAUUAGAUGCUUUUUUCGCCCCUAGUGGAAAUUCACAAGAUGUAAAAUAAAUAUAAAUUAAAACCAGCCUCGUCUUUACCAGGUGCAAAAUUAAAGUUAUUUACAUGUUAAUGCAUUAAAAAGUGUAAUCCUGUUAUAUAAAAUACACUUUUACAAGAUAGUUAAAUUAGAAAAUGCAUGAUUGCAAGAUUAAAAGCCCAAUGUACUGAUUUAGAUAAACCUUUUAAGUUGCAAACAUUUUUUAUGUUUAUAUUGUUUUGACAUAAUAAUGUUUCACUAACUUAAUAUUGUGAAUUAUUUAAAAUCUGAUUUUUUUGCUUUAGUCGAUUUAAAACAAUUCAAAUUGAACAGUGUAGCCAUCCCAUAAUAGACCACUUUAGAAGACAUUGAAAGUAUUUGAGUUUACAAGAAGUCUUAGAAUGUUGAAUAUAAUCACUUUUAUUGCACUUUGAGUUUGUAGAAAUCUGUGAAUGUAGUAGAAAGAUGAACAAUGCACAGAUAAAUACAAACAAAACAUCAACAUUUUUGUUUAAGUGAUUAAAUCUCCAAAAGAUCUUUUAAAUUCUCCCAAGUAAAAGCUUUUUACUUCUCCUCACCACCUGCACAGGACGCUGCUGCUCAUUCACUGGAGAUUUAGAAACAUGUAAUUUUUUAUUUUUUAAAAAUGCAUAAAAGUUGUGUUGGUGCAUGAACUGAGGCUGCUGACUGACCUUAUAUUGCACAAUGUUCAAUGUCUUUAAAUAUUUUCACAGUAAGGAUUCAUCUGUCGAUCUAUCUAUACCUGAAACCUCAUCCUCUGUAUAUAGUCUUCUACAUGUUUGUUUUUUUUUUUUUUUUAAGAAUAAAAUCAUCUGUAUAUAAUGCUAUGGGCAA